GCCAGACGUUUUCCAUUACGAUUUCACUACGAUGUUUGACAAUAAGGAGCAGUGCGCGAGAUAUGCUAAUGAGCAGACUUCCCUCGCUUGAGUUUCUGAAGAAUGUUCCAUAUCGCGCUAAGCUCAUCACUGCUGAUUAUGACAGGCGUGCAGCGGCACACAUUGACAUAGACCACUGUUGCAAUCAACGACACAGUCGCUAUCCAAGUAGCAUUAUAGAGCUGUCAUGCAAUGCAACAACUGUGCUAUCUGCCAUCGCACAUCAACGAAGAAGUGCAGCCGCCCACAUUCCACCUCACGUCUGUCCGACCAGCUGCAAUCCUCGAGGACGCCCCACUGUACCACGAUUUCACUACGAUGUUUGACAAGAAGGAGCAGUGCGCGAGAUAGGCUAAUGAGCAGACUUCCCUCGCUUGAGUUUCGGAAGAAUGUUCCAUAUCGCGCUAAGCUGACCACUGCUGACCAUGACAGGCGUGCAUUGGACUGGUACAGGUUGGAACUGAACAUUGAAUAUGCUGGUGGUGACGCUUUCUGAUGAGAAGUUGCUCGUGACUGAUGCAGUAUCCUUGGACUUGUCCACAGCAUCGUUCAAUCAUUGCUCUCUGAGCUGCCUUGAUUCUGCCUUGAUUCUGUACCCAAAUACUAAGACCAAAUGCCUGUUGACUGUGCUUUAAGAGAGACUGGCGCCAUGCCUAGAGAUAUGACUGACCCCUAUUGGCAAAUUUGUAUGACUUUAUCUUGCCUACCUAGCUGCUGCCUAUAGUCUCCCUUUAACUGCGGAACACUUCAAAGUCGAUAAAAUGCCAUGUUCCACCUUUUAAUGUGUUCAGACUGCCAUUUUCAAAAUAAUCAAGUCAGGACACUGCCUUCUAGUCUCAUAAUAAAUUUUGCUUUCCUCAAUAUAUAAUAACAUUUCUUCUUCUUCAAUGCUUUCAUCAUUCCAAACUUCUCCUCCUCUGACUUUUACAGGGGUACAGUCAUGGCAAUCAAAACCCAAAUACUGAGACCAAAUGCCUGUUGACUGUGCUUUAAGAGAGACUGGCGCCAUGCCUAGUCUCUCUUAAAGCACAGUCAACAGACACCAACCCCCUCAGACUCAGAAACCACAAACGCCCAACCCUUCCUGCUACCCUAAUACUUCUGGAUUUUGC